rnacentral:rRNA from 1 species
UCAAAUUUGAAAUCUGGCCGCCUGUGCGGUCCGAGUUGUAAUUUGAAGAGGAUGCUUUUGGCAAGGUGCCUUCCGAGUGCCCUGGAAUGGGACGCCAUAGAGGGUGAGAGCCCCGUAUGGUCGGUCGCCGAGCCUCUGUAAAGCUCCUUCGACGAGUCGAGUAGUUUGGGAAUGCUGCUCAAAAUGGGAGGUAAACCCCUUCUAAAGCUAAAUAUUGGCCAGAGACCGAUAGCGCACAAGUAGAGUGAUCGAAAGAUGAAAAGCACUUUGAAAAGAGAGUUAAACAGCACGUGAAAUUGUUGAAAGGGAAGCGCUUGCGACCAGACUUGUGCUCGUCGAAUCAGCCGUCGCUCGUCGGCGGCGCAUCUCGGCGG